rnacentral:rRNA from 1 species
CACGUAGGCACCAAGCGUUGUUCGGAUUUACUGGGCGUAAAGGGCGCGCAGGCGGUUCUGUUUGUCGAGUGUGAAAGCCCCCGGCUCACCUGGGGAACUGCGCCGGAAACCGACAGACUCGAGUACCGGAGAGGAGGGUGGAAUUCCUGGUGUAGCGGUGAAAUGCGUAGAUAUCAGGAGGAACACCGGUGGCGAAGGCGGCCCUCUGGACGGAUACUGACGCUGAGGCGCGAAAGCGUGGGGAUCAAACAGG